rnacentral:snRNA from 1 species
AUACUUACCUGGCAGGGGAGAUACCAUGAUCACGAAGGUGGUUUUCCCAGGGCAAGGCUUAUCCAUUGCACUCCGGAUGUGCUGACCCCUGCGAUUUCCCCAAAUGUGGGAAACUCGAUUGCAUAAUUUGUGGUAGUGGGGGACUGUGUUCGUGCUCUCCAA